rnacentral:rRNA from 1 species
UACAGAGGGGGCCAGCGUUAUUCGGAAUUAUUGGGCGUAAAGGGCGCGUAGGCGGCCAUGCGUGUCUUCCGUGAAAUCCCUCGGCUUAACCGAGGACGUGCGGAAGAAACUGCAAGGCUCGGAGUCCGGAAGAGGGGGGCGGAAUUCCCAGUGUAGCGGUGGAAUGCGCAGAUAUCAGGAGGAACACCGAUGGCGAAGGCGGGUCUCUGGGCCGUGAACUGACG